rnacentral:rRNA from 1 species
GGGGAAUYUUCCGCAAUGGGCGAAAGCCUGACGGAGCAAGACCGCGUGGGGGAGGAAGGCCUUGGGUUGUAAACUCCUUUUCUCGGGGAAGAAGAACUGACGGUACCCGAGGAAAAAGCCUCGGCUAACUCCGUGCCAGCAGCCGCGGUAAGACGGAGGAGGCAAGCGUUAUCCGGAAUUAUUGGGCGUAAAGGGUCCGCAGGUGGCCAUUCAAGUCUGCAGUCAAAGGUCGGGGCUCAACCCCGAAAAGGCUGUGGAAACUGAAAGGCUAGAGUACGGUAGGGGCAGAGGGAAUUCCCAGUGUAGCGGUGAAAUGCGUAGAGAUUGGGAAGAACACCGGUGGCGAAAGCGCUCUGCUAGGCCGAAACUGACACUGAGGGACGAAAGCUAGGGGAGCGAAAGGGAUUAGAUACCCCUGUAGUCCUAGCUGUAAACGAUGGAGACUAGGUGUGGCCUGUAUCGACCCGGGCCGUGCCGGAGCUAACGCGUUAAGUCUCCCGCCUGGGGAGUACGCACGCAAGUGUGAAACUCAAAGGAAUUGACGGGGGCCCGCACAAGCGGUGGAGUAUGUGGUUUAAUUCGAUGCAACGCGAAGAACCUUACCAGGGCUUGACAUGUCGCGAACCCCGGGGAAACCUGGGGGUGCCUUAGGGAGCGCGAACACAGGUGGUGCAUGGCUGUCGUCAACUCGUGUCGUGAGAUGUUGGGUUAAGUCCCGCAACGAGCGCAACCCUCGUCCUUAGUUGCCAGCACGAAGGUGGGAACUCUAGGGNAGACUGCCGGUGACAAACCGGNAGNAAGGUGGGGAUGACGUCAAGUCAGCAUGCCCCUUACGUCCUGGGCUACACACGUACUACAAUGGGAAGGACAAAGAGCAGCNAGCGCGCAAGUGCAAGCGAAUCUCGAAAACCUUGCCCCAGUUCGGAUUGCAGGCUGCAACUCGCCU